GGACUACCGGGGUUUCUAAUCCCGUUCGCUACCCUGGCUUUCGCGCCUCAGCGUCAGAAGAGAUCCAGCACGUCGCUUUCGCCACCGGCGUUCCUUCGGAUAUCAACGCAUUUCACCGCUCCACCCGAAGUUCCACAUGCCCCUACCUCCCUCUAGGCCCGCAGUUUCCAAGGCACUUCCCCAGUUGAGCUGGGGGCUUUCACCCCGGACUUACAAGCCCGCCUACGCGCCCUUUAAGCCCAGUGAUUCCGAACAACGUUCGCACGGUUCGUCUUACCGCGGCGGCUGGCAC
rnacentral:rRNA from 1 species